UCCGGUUGAUCCUGCCGGAGGGUACUGCUAUUCGGAUUCGACUAAAACAUGCGAGCCGAGAGUCUUAGGGACUCGGCGUACUGCUCAGUAAUAUGUAGCUAACUUGCCCUAGGCUCAGGGAUAAAGUCGGGAAACUGACUCUAAUACCUGAUAGGUAUCCUGGUCUGGAAUGAUAGGAUACCCAAAGUUCAGGCGGCCUAGGAUAGGACUACAUCUUAUCAGCCUGUUGGGGGUGUAACGGACCCCCAAAGCUAUAACGGGUACGGGCCAUGAGAGUGGAAGCCCGGAGAUGGAUUCUGAGACAUGAAUCCAGGUCCUACGGGACGCAGCAGUUGCGAAACCUUUACAAUGUGUUAGCGCACGAUAAGGGAAUCCGAAGUGCUGCAGUUAAACUGCAGCUUUUGUCAAGUCCAAACAGCUUGGCGAAUAAGGGGUGGGUAAGACAGGUGCCAGCCGCCGCGGUAAUACCUGCGCCCCGAGUGGUGCCCAGUAUUAUUUGGCCUAAAGCGUCCGUAGCUGGUCUUGUAAGUCCCUAGUGAAAUUCACUGGUUAACUGGUGAGCGUGUUGGGGAUACUGCGAGACUUGGGACUGGGAGAGGGUAGAGGUACUCCUGGGGAAGGGGUAAAAUCCUAUAAUCCGAGGGGGACCACCUGUGGCGAAGGCGUCUACCUAGAACAGGUCCGACAGUGAGGGACGAAAGCUAGGGGAGCGAUCGGGAUUAGAUACCCCGGUAGUCCUAGCCGUAAACUAUGCCCACUUGGUGUUAAAAACCUUAAGAGGGUUUUUAGUGCCGUAGCGGAGGUGUUAAGUGGGCCGCCUGGGGACUACGACCGCAAGGUUAAAACUUAAGGGAAUUGGCGGGGGACCACACAAGGAGUGAAGACUGCGGUUCAAUCGGAUCCAACGCCGUGAAUCUCACGGGGAUCGACAGCAGAAUGAAGGUCAGUUUGAAGGGCUUACCUAACAAGCUGAGAAGUGUUGCAUGGCCAUCGUCAGCUCGUACCGUGAGGCGUGCGCUUAAGUGCGUUAACGAGCGAGACCCGCAUCUUAUGUUGCUAAGCCGGUGAGGCAGCACUCAUAAGAGACUGCUGGUGAUGAAUCAGAGGAGGGAGCGGGCGACGGUAGACAUCAAGACAGCUGGUCAGUAAAAAUAAAUUCAAGUAGGUCAGUAAAUUUAGUAUGCCCAAGAUUCAAUUUCGAAAUAAAGAUUUGGAGCUUUUGUUUUUUGACCUUAAAGAGAAAACUAGUGACUUUGCAAAUAUUGAACCUGAAGUGAUACAACAAGAUCCGAAAAAAUUACUAAUAAUUAGACUUGCAUUGGGAAUGUCUCAAAAUGAAUUCGAAAGGAUUGUGAGCAAAGGGAACAAAAA
rnacentral:rRNA from 1 species